rnacentral:lncRNA from 1 species
UUUUUCUGUGUUUGUAUAUUUCAUUUUUGGUUUACUGUGUUCUGUGUGUUUAUCAAUUGAAUUUCUCCAACUAAUUCAGGGAUGUAAAUUUGGAUUCCGAAUGGGUUUUCAAUGCAAAUUUCAUUUUAGUCUUUUAGAGUUUUGAUUCCAGGAAGAUCCUUAAUGCAUAGUAGAGUAACCCUCUUCUUUUCAUUUCUUCUUCAUCAAUAUUCUAAUUUGAUUUGAUUAUAUCUACUUACGUUUGAUGUGAUCAAUUUAUUGUGUUGCAGAUUGACUUGACCUCUCAUAUAGUUAAGGUUUUCUUGGCGUUAAAAGUAUGGAUUUUUCUGUAUUGUUGAAUUUUUUGUGCGGUAAAUUAAACCCAGUUUGUAAAAAUUUCAAAACUUUGAUGGGUUAGGAAUAAAUUUUAAAUCUUUGUCAUGGUUUGAUAUUUUGUACGUUCUUCCAUUUUCACCCUGAUUCUUUUUUGAUAUUUCAACUUUGCCCUAUUGCUUUGCUGUCAAAUGAGUAACAGUUGUUGGAAUAUAUUAGUAUUUUAGGUAUUAUAUUGUUUGGGUUUUUUUAUAAGUUUAGUUUGGGCUUAGCCUAUGUCUAUAGCCGGUCCCAAGCCCGGAUAAAGGAGGAGGGGGAGGGCGUCAGGUAGUCGACAGCCGGCACUCCAUGAUCACGUCGAAUCCUUUAGUUUGGGCUUAGCCUGUUAGCAUUAGGGUUAGGGUUAGGGUUAGUUUAUUAUAAAUAGCAUGCUUGUUAGUCAG